UCAAUGCUGUUAUGUUUGUAAGUAUGC
rnacentral:sRNA from 1 species